rnacentral:rRNA from 1 species
GAUGAACGCUGGCGGCGUGCCUAAUACAUGCAAGUCGAGCGAACAGACGAGGAGCUUGCUCCUCUGACGUUAGCGGCGGACGGGUGAGUAACACGUGGAUAACCUACCUAUAAGACUGGGAUAACUUCGGGAAACCGGAGCUAAUACCGGAUAAUAUAUUGAACCGCAUGGUUCAAUAGUGAAAGACGGUUUUGCUGUCACUUAUCGAUGGAUCCGCGCCGCAUUAGCUAGUUGGUAAGGUAACGGCUUACCAAGGCGACGAUGCGUAGCCGACCGGAGAGGGUGACCGCCCACACGGGAACUGAGACACGGUCCAGACUCCUACGGGAGGCAGCAGUAGGGAAUCUUCCGCAAUGGGCGAAAGCCUGACGGAGCAACGCCGCGUGAGAGAUGAAGGUCUUCGGAUCGUAAAACUCUGUUAUUAGGGAAGAACAAAUGUGUAAGUAACUAUGCACGUCUUGACGGUACCUAAUCAGAAAGCCACGGCUAACUACGUG